rnacentral:rRNA from 1 species
AAAGAGGGCGGUUACCACGGUGUGGCCGAUGACUGGGGUGAAGUCGUAACAAGGUAGCCGUAGGGGAACCUGCGGCUGGAUCACCUCCUUA